rnacentral:rRNA from 1 species
AGUGAACGCUGGCGGUAUGCCUAACACAUGCAAGUCGAACGGACGCACAGUAAGCUCUUGCCCUUACCGUUGGCGAGGGGCGGACGGGUGAGGCAUGCAUAGCCAUCUUCUUUUUCUUGGGGGAUUUCGUAGGGCAACUUACACUAAUACCUCAUACGUCCUACGGGUGGGAGCAGGAGAUCAUCGGACCUUGCGCGUUUGAAUGAGCCGGUGCCGGAUUAGCUAGUUGGCGAGGUAAAGGCCCACCAAGGCGACGAUGCGUAGCUGAUCUGAGAGGAUGAUCAGCCACACUGGAACUGAGACACGGUCCAGACUCCUACGGGAGGCAGCAGUGGGGAAUAUUCGGCAAUGGGCGAAAGCCUGACGGAGCAACGCCGCGUGAGUGAUGAAGGUCUUCGGAUCGUAAAACUCUGUUGUUAGGGAAGAACAAAUGUGUGAGUAACUAUGCACGUUUUGACGGUACCUAAAGAGAAAGCAACGGCUAACUACGUG